CUUGAUGCACCUGUAACGGGAGUCACCUGUAGGUGUCUCUAUACCCAUUGUUCAGGGGGUUUAAAAAGGAAGUUGACGUGUGGUUGCUAUGGCGCUAGCUUCCUGUGAGAAAGCCGGUUAGCUCAGAGAGCAGCGUGAGUUGGCUCGAGCAAAAAGUGCGGAUCACGGCAGAGGUAGAUCCUGCUUUUCUGGGGGUUUUAAAGACUGGGCGUGAGGUUUUGCGACGCACCAGUGUUGGAAUACUGUGCCCUGCUGUCCUGUUUAAGUUUAUGUUUUGUACUUUGUUUGUCCGCUCCUGACGGAGCUGUCCCAGCGUGAUUGACUAAUCAAGUGCAGGAGCGGACUAUUUACCCUCUGUUCUGUUUGUCAUUUUUUUUAGUCACUUCCCUCAGGUUUCACCCCGCAUGUUAUUUUGGUGGGUGCCGUAUCCCACCGAGUGCUGUGCAUCACAGUUACGUUGCAUGUUUUUAUUUUUUAUUGUUGUGCAUGAACUGUGGUUUUUUUGUCUGCAUGCUCCUGUGGUGUCAUUGAUACGGUCAACAUUUUUAUUCUACUCAUGACGGGGUUUUUGUAUUAAUAAAUCUUCGUAACCUGC